UAUAGUAUUUUAUCGACGGCUCAUAUAAUUUCAUGAUGACGGUUUGACUUCUCCUUUCUUGAGAACCUCCUCAGUCAAUCCGGGGUAUGAAAGUUUCUACCGGCCACCCGAAACGGCUGACUAUGGGUUCCGUUUUUCUUUGG
rnacentral:ncRNA from 2 species